GACGAACGUUGGCGGCGUGCUUAACACAUGCAAGUCGAACGGAAAGGCCCUGCUUUUGUGGGGUGCUCGAGUGGCGAACGGGUGAGUAACACGUGAGUAACCUGCCCUCGACUUUGGGAUAACUUCAGGAAACUGGGGCUAAUACCGGAUAGGAGCUCCUGCUGCAUGGUGGGGGUUGGAAAGUUUCGGCGGUUGGGGAUGGACUCGCGGCUUAUCAGCUUGUUGGUGGGGUAGUGGCUUACCAAGGCUUUGACGGGUAGCCGGCCUGAGAGGGUGACCGGCCACAUUGGGACUGAGAUACGGCCCAGACUCCUACGGGAGGCAGCAGUGGGGAAUAUUGCACAAUGGGCGGAAGCCUGAUGCAGCAACGCCGCGUGCGGGAUGACGGCCUUCGGGUUGUAAACCGCUUUCGCCUGUGACGAAGCGUGAGUGACGGUAAUGGGUAAAGAAGCACCGGCUAACUACGUGCCAGCAGCCGCGGUGAUACGUAGGGUGCGAGCGUUGUCCGGAUUUAUUGGGCGUAAAGGGCUCGUAGGUGGUUGAUCGCGUCGGAAGUGUAAUCUUGGGGCUUAACCCUGAGCGUGCUUUCGAUACGGGUUGACUUGAGGAAGGUAGGGGAGAAAUGGAAUUCCUGGUGGAGCGGUGGAAUGCGCAGAUAUCAGGAGGAACACCAGUGGCGAAGGCGGUUCUCUGGGCCUUUCCUGACGCUGAGGAGCGAAAGCGUGGGGAGCGAACAGGCUUAGAUACCCUGGUAGUCCACGCUGUAAACGGUGGGUACUAGGUGUGGGGUCCAUUCCACGGGUUCCGUGCCGUAGCUAACGCUUUAAGUACCCCGCCUGGGGAGUACGGCCGCAAGGCUAAAACUCAAAGGAAUUGACGGGGCCCCGCACAAGCGGCGGAGCAUGCGGAUUAAUUCGAUGCAACGCGUAGAACCUUACCUGGGUUUGACAUGGAUCGGGAGUGCUCAGAGAUGGGUGUGCCUCUUUUGGGGUCGGUUCACAGGUGGUGCAUGGCUGUCGUCAGCUCGUGUCGUGAGAUGUUGGGUUAAGUCCCGCAACGAGCGCAACCCUUGUUCACUGUUGCCAGCACGUUAUGGUGGGGACUCAGUGGAGACCGCCGGGGUCAACUCGGAGGAAGGUGGGGAUGACGUCAAGUCAUCAUGCCCCUUAUGUCCAGGGCUUCACGCAUGCUACAAUGGCUGGUACAGAGAGUGGCGAGCCUGUGAGGGUGAGCGAAUCUCGGAAAGCCGGUCUCAAUUCGGAUUGGGGUCUGCGACUCGACCUCAUGAAGUCGGAGUCGCUAGUAAUCGCAGAUCAGCAACGCUGCGGUGAAUACGUUCCCGGG
rnacentral:rRNA from 1 species